UCCUUUGUGGCUCAGCUGGUAAAGAAUCUGCCUGCAAAGCAGAAGACCUGGGUUUGAUCCCUGGAUUGGGAA
rnacentral:tRNA from 1 species